AUCAAACAGACGGAAACACGCUGAUAAUCCCCUGUUAAAAUCCCGUGUGCAGAUUUAUUAAUUAUAAUCCUGUUUAAUUCGUUCAGCUGUAGCACGUGUGGAUCCAGGAGCCGCGGGGAGGCCGCGGGUUCGCAGCUGCUGAAGGCCGCAGGACAAGCGGACACCGCGGGCGGAGAGCCGCUGCGGCCGCCGGAGGAUCCAGGAGAGAGGCCGCUGCUUCAGCCUGGAUGGGGUCAUUUAUGGAGCU
rnacentral:lncRNA from 1 species